UUAAAAUGGGGACUGUCCUGCGAAAAUCGGCACAUUUGGGAGGCGUUUCCAGUAAACCAAUAUCUCCAUUGUACAGGUGAUUCCAUCACAAUCACAAAAUCCCAUACACAUAUCUGAGCCAAAUCUACACAUAGUAUCCCUAUCAGUAUUUCUCUCUAACUCUCCUAUGGCACCGGGAAAAUGAAAUGCCGUCACCCACAAAUGAAGCAUAACAGCUUCUCCACCCUGUGCCCCCCGUGUUCCGGGACACAAUCCUCACACAUACAGGCUUCCUCCUCCCGGCAGUAAUACCCCAGGGGCUUCUGGUGAGUGGAACAAUCAUUAUCUCUGAAUAAAGUGAUGGAGUCUAUCAUUUGGUGUUGUGCUGACUGGCUGUGCAUCCCCACAUGUCUGGCACACAGAGAGGCCUCACAGGUCAGGCAGGAUUUAGCCGCGGGCACAGGGGGGGCACAGUAAGUGCAGAGGAUCCCAGCACCCUCCUGCCCUGGGUGAGACGGAAAGAAAAUCUUCAUUAUGUCUCUCAGAGUCUGGUCUCCUCUCACUUUGGGCGACACAUAGUAUCCGUCUCCGCAUUUCUGACAGGUAGGGGGCAGAUGACAGCCCUGGCAGAAGGUAUGGCCACAGGGCAGGGUUACGGGCUCUGAACAAAUCUUCUGGCACACAGAGCAGGUUAGAC